rnacentral:pre_miRNA from 1 species
AAAGUACUCCCUCCGUCCCAAAAUUAUUGUCUUAGAUUUGUCUAGAUACGGAUGUAUCAAGUCACAUUUUAGUAUUAGAUACAUCUGUAUCUAGACAAAUCUAAGACAAGAAAUUUGGGACAGAGGGAGUAGUUG